AACGAACGCUGGCGGCGUGCCUAACACAUGCAAGUCGAGCGCGAAAGCUCCUUCGGGAGCCUUAAAGCGGCAGACGGGUGAGUAACACGUGGGUAACCUGUCCCUGAGUGGGGGAUAACUACUCGAAAGGGUGGCUAAUACCGCAUAAGACCACGGCCUUGCGGGGCUGAGGUCAAAGGCGCAAGCCGCUUAGGGAGGGGCCCGCGGCCGAUUAGCUAGUUGGCAGGGUAAUGGCCUACCAAGGCGACGAUCGGUAGCUGGUCUGAGAGGAUGAUCAGCCACACUGGUACUGAGACACGGACCAGACUCCUACGGGAGGCAGCAGUGGGGAAUAUUGCGCAAUGGGCGAAAGCCUGACGCAGCAACGCCGCGUGGGUGAUGAAGGCCUUCGGGUCGUAAAGCCCUGUCAGAUGGGACGAAGCAAGUGACGGUACCAUCGAAGGAAGCACCGGCUAACUCCGUGCCAGCAGCCGCGGUAAUACGGAGGGUGCAAGCGUUGUUCGGAAUCACUGGGCGUAAAGGGCGCGUAAGCGGUCCCAAAAGUCCGAUGUGAAAGCCCGG
rnacentral:rRNA from 1 species